GUGUGCAUCUCAUACUUCUGUCAUAGCCGAAUCUUCUGGAUAUUUGGCCUACCAAAAUAAUUCAAAUUAAAGUAGGACAUUUGGCUUACCAAAAACAUUCAAAUUAAAGGUUUCAGUUUCAAAGUUGAGGCCUUGUGGUUCAAAUUAAAGGUGGAUAUUUGGUCUACCAAAAAUAUUCAAAUUAAAGGUUUCGGUUUCAAAAAUGAGGCCUUGUGUUUCAAAGUUAAAUCUUGCUAACUGAAUUUUGAUAUUUGAUAAUAAGGUAUGUAUAUGGGGCAUCAUGUGAUCUGUUGAAGUAGAUGUCCAAGUAUCUCUCGGCCCCAUUUUGUCUGCCCAAUGCCAGUAAAAUUCAGUUUACUUGAACUUUAAUUUGGCAGUCUUACAAAUUCUAUAUCACUUCAUGUCAAUUUUUUAAUGGAAAUUAUAGAUCACUUCAUGUGAUUGGUAUUUACCUCUUUAGCAAGUGGUGUGAUUUUUUCUAAUUUUCAGAUGAGAUUGUGAUUGCCAAAUUAAACUUACCUGGGAUGAUAUUUGGUUGCUUCCAUAACACUGAUCUAAGUGUUUUUUGUGGGUGAUCUUAAUUGUUUUCUACCCUUUCCCUACUUUAGAUAGUGGCGGCGCAAGGGUUUCGAUUGGGAGGCGUGGAGGGAAAGCUGUCGGUCGCCUGCCGUGUGUUGGCGCUGCUGUCAUCUUCGAGCGACCACGUCCGUGAGCUGCUGCCACCGGCGACGUUCCUAAUCUGCUGCUGGCCACCGCCACAACCUGCUGCUGCCCGGUGACGUCCCUCUCAUUCUCCAUGUAUUUUUUUUCCUAAAAAUUGUUUCCUUCUUCCUGUUGAGUGUGCAGGCAGUAGAGAAACAACGCAUGCAUGUAUGCAAAUUUGUUUCAUUGGAUAAAAAAAUUCCUACAUGUAUAAUAUGAUCCAGAUAUACAACAUCUCCAAUCCAAUUACUUGCUUCUGUCACUACAAGAAUUAUUUUGCUUGAACAUUUAUAAAGUAUAUUUUGGUGGCUUUCAUAAUCAGGUACGUGUAUUGCCUCUAAGAAUCCCAUUUUCUAUUGAAGUCGUUGCCAAAGUAGUCUAGAUUUGUUUAAAAUAAUACUUCCAUUGUAUGAGGUUACAUGUAAUCCUGCACUAGAGGCCACUUUCCUAAAUUUACCAAGAAACUCUGCACCUAUUAGCGAUUUUUUCUUAUUACCCAAUUUUUUUUCUAAUCUUCACCUGUUAGUGUAAUUUUGGGUUAAGGGUUAAUUGAACUCAUAUAUAGACGUUUUGGAGGCUAUUUGUCUUGCCCAUCCUCACUGCUCAUUUAUGUUGGAUUAAAAUCAAGGCUCCAUACAAAAUCAAGCAAUCAAAGUUCUUGACUAACUAAAUGGUUUGUACAUCUAGAAAUUUGAUACUACUAUGAAAAUGGUGCUUAAAAGUAAAUUGGUUUUGAGUUAUCUACAUUCCGUUCUAUGCUUUGUAGGCAAAUAUACAUAUGCUUAAAAGUAAAUUAGUUCUGUGUUGAUCUGAUGUAGGUAUUAUUAAUCAGAUAAGGUCACUUGCCAUCCUUUUUGUCCAUUACUGAUAAUGCUACCUGUAGUUAUUGCAGGGAAUUUAAUAUAACCUUGAAUGAAUUUACCAAUUACUGUCAUUUUCAGUAUCAAUGUGCAUGCCACCAUUGUGUGUCCAGAUUGCUUUUCGUGCGCUCAUUGUUCUGUCUUAUGCACAGCAAUGCUUCCAAGCCGGGUGGGACAUUCAAGAAAAAAAGGCAGUAAUUGGACUGUUGUGUUUGCAGACGGCAUUUGUACAUAAUGUACUUCUCUGUAUGGCCCUAUCUUCAUGGAUGGUUCCUGUUACGAGCUUAACUCGCGGGCACCAGGUGAAGAGCUUAUUGGUAUUCUUAGUGUUUACUCGCUACCUCGACGUCCGCUCGGGUCCGGCUCAUCACCUUGAUGCACACUUCUACUCCUUUUGAGUUAUGUGCUACCAUUACCAAGUCAAGCUAAAGUGAUGCCCUUGGUUCCUGACUCCAUGCUACCACUGGGUGUAUCUUCUCUGCUCCACCGCAGCUAUGUAGAGCCUCUUUUGUACAAGUGCAGCUGUCUGAGAAGCACGCUUUUGUAAGCAAUAUUGGUUUCAUUUUUGAACAUAGAUGAUAUAUAUUUGGUGAUGUGAUAA